rnacentral:rRNA from 1 species
GACGAACGCUGGCGGCGUGCAUAACACAUGCAAGUCACGGGGGCCAGCAAUGGCAACCGGCGAACGGGUGCGUAACACGUAAGCGACCUACCUCGAUGUGGGGCAUAGCCGGCCUAACGGCCGGGUAAUUCCGCAUGUGAUCCUUGAGGGGCAUAUCUCGGGGAUGAAACCAGUAAUGGGCAUUGAGAGGGGCUUGCGGCCUAUCAGCUUGUUGGCGGGGUAACGGCUCACCAAGGCGACGACGGGUAGCUGGUCUGAGAGGAUGGCCAGCCACAUUGGGACUGAGAAACGGCCCAGACUCCUACGGGAGGCAGCAGUGGGGAAUAUUGGACAAUGGGCGCAAGCCUGAUCCAGCCAUGCCGCGUGAGUGAUGAAGGCCUUAGGGUUGUAAAGCUCUUUCGGCGGGGACGAUAAUGACGGUACCCGCAGAAGAAGCCCC